rnacentral:rRNA from 1 species
UACGUAGGGUGCAAGCGUUAAUCGGAAUUACUGGGCGUAAAGCGUGCGCAGGCGGCUUUGCAAGACAGAUGUGAAAUCCCCGGGCUCAACCUGGGAACUGCAUUUGUGACUGCAUGGCUGGAGUGCGGCAGAGGGGGAUGGAAUUCCGCGUGUAGCAGUGAAAUGCGUAGAUAUGCGGAGGAACACCGAUGGCGAAGGCAAUCCCCUGGGCCU